GAGAGAGAGAGAGAGAGAACUAGCACUUGAACUUAUUGACUUCAGUUAACAUGUCUAUGGGAGCCCAUGUCAUGUUAAAAACUAUAAACUUCCAAGAAUCUAGUUAUUGGAAUGUUCUCAGCACAUUUAACCUUUUGAUUCACAAGCCAGAAGGCAGGUCAUAAUUUCGGCAAAUGAUCCAAAUGUUCAAGUGUGUGUAGUGGCAUCAAACUAAUAAGUGCUUAAAAUACGAAGUAGCUAGGAGGGACUUGAAUGCUGCAACAUGAAAGGGGAAGGUAAAUUCACUAGUGAUCUGGAUCUGAUAAGACACCUGAGUACGUA
rnacentral:misc_RNA from 1 species